AAGAUAUACUAGUAGAUGUUUUAAUACAUGUCUUGAACACUGAUCCCGAUCAAAUGGGGCAAAAAAAUACUAAAGAAUUAAGGGAAUAAUAUUUUUGUACAUGAAUGUACAACAUACAAACACACACGGAUCACCACUCUCAACCAUAGAUUAAAAAAUCAAUGGUUAGAUUCUUCUCCCACAACACACACGGAUCACCACUCUCAACCAUAGAUUAAAAAAAUCAAUGGUUAGAUUCUUCCUCCCACAACACACACAGAUCACCAUUAUGAACCAUAGAUUAAAAAACCAAUGGUUAGAUUUACAUGAAACCCUUUCACUCUCACUCUCACUUUACCACUCUCACUUUACCACUCCCGGGCUCACGGCGCCUCUCAUUCUCAUGGGCUCAGCGCCUCUCCGUCUCCCUCAUACAUUCAUUCACGGCGGACCUUGAAGCUGUCCUGAUUCUGCCUCUUUCUCAUCGGUGUUUGCUGCCCUAAAUCUCCAAAUUCAGUAAUGGAGCAAGGGUUUGGAAAUUAUGAUGAGCAAACUAUAGAUUCUCAAGACACUGUUCAGAAUCAAGAUUCUUCUCAACAACAAGUCACUACCACUAUGUUUGAAUUCGAAAAUUAUGAUGAUAUAUUGUUUGAAUUUGGAUGUUUCUGCUUUUCUUUGGAAAUAAUGGUGGCAUUCAUAAUCAAAAAUCGUUCGCAAGACAUGGAGACUGAACUUUCUAAAUUAAUGUUGAUAAUAAGCGAGUUCUGUUGGUUCCAUUAUACUGCAAUUUACAAAUUAUCAGGGCUAUGCUCAAUUGUAUUUAUCGUGGAAUAUUUUCAAUAGUCAAAUUAUAGUUGAAUCUGAAUUAAAACAUAGCCUAAUAGUAUAUUCAUGUCACUAGCACACUCCCAUCUUUAUUUCAUUAUUACUCACAGAAUUAAUAUAAUCAUAUGCUUAAUAGUCUCUGUGAAUUAAUUUUAUUUAUUACGCCUUCAGCCAAGCCUUGGUACUUAAUAUUACAAGCUUUUUGUUCAUUUGGUUUCAUCACCUCAAAUGUAUACAUGACUAGAGGCAGUAGUGUUGCUAAUAGUUUGAGGCAGGGCCUGAGCCUGCUUGUUUUGCUCUUGUUUGUGAGCACUGAUUAUCCUUAAUGAAUGAUUUGCCUUGCUAUUUUUUAAAAAAUAUUCUAAGAUUUCUAAUAUUUAAUCUAUUUAAUUAUAUUCCCGUCAAAAAAAAAAAAAUCCAUUUAAUUAUAUAAAAAAUUUUGUAAACGGUUCGAUUUAGAAGCGGUUUGGUUCAUAAACGGUUCAGUUCGGUUUACAAUCAGUUCGGUUUUUAAAUGGUUCGGUGCAAACGGCUAGCAGUUUGCUAACGGUUCGGUGUAAGCGGUUUUUUUGCCAGUUUAAACGGUUUCGGGUUGGAACCGGUUUUGGGUUAGAUAUGGUUCGGUUCUUUUUCGGUUCGGUUUUCUUUCAGUUCGUUUUAUAUUUGGUUCAGUUUGUUAACGGGUUCGGUUCUUAUACGGUUUAACAUUAUUCGGGUCGAUUCGGUUUCGGGUUUACUAAAAUACGGUUCGGGUCGGUUUUCGGUUU